UACGUAGGGUGCGAGCGUUAAUCGGAAUUACUGGGCGUAAAGCGUGCGCAGGCGGUUUUGUAAGCCGGAUGUGAAAUCCCCGGGCUUAACCUGGGAAUGGCAUUCGGGACUGCAAGGCUGGAGUGCGGCAGAGGAGACUGGAAUUCCUGGUGUAGCAGUGGAAUGCGCAGAUAUCAGGAGGAACACCGAUGGCGAAGGCAGAUCUCUGGGCCGUAACUGACGCUGAGGAGCGAAAGCGUGGGGAGCGAACAGG
rnacentral:rRNA from 1 species